UUUAUGGAGAGUUUGAUCCUGGCUCAGGAUGAACGCUGGCGGCGUGCCUAAUACAUGCAAGUCGAGCGAACAGAUGAGGAGCUUGCUCCUUUGACGUUAGCGGCGGACGGGUGAGUAACACGUGGGUAACCUACCUAUAAGACUGGGAUAACUUCGGGAAACCGGAGCUAAUACCGGAUAAUAUUUCGAACCGCAUGGUUCGAUAGUGAAAGAUGGUUUUGCUAUCACUUAUAGAUGGACCCGCGCCGUAUUAGCUAGUUGGUAAGGUAACGGCUUACCAAGGCGA
rnacentral:rRNA from 1 species